AAUUUUCGUUUCGAAAAUACCAAAAAUCUUCGGAGGAGGGAAAGGCAGAAUUUUGAAAAUCCUUUCUUAGCGGUUGUGUACAUUGUAUUACAAUAAGAAACAUCUGUGUAAAAUUUCAAUUCCUCGUACCGGUUUGGUCUGUUCGCCGAUAGUCUAGACUCCGAUUUCUUCUUUUACGUACACAUAGAUAAUUGUUAAACCACAUUUUUUUUUUUAUCGAUUUCUUCUGUUAAUGUCAUUAUAUUUAUCACUGAUUAUUGUCGUAUAUCAGAUUUGACACAUUAUUUUGUUCGUUUAAUAAUAAUAAUAAUUCUAGAUUUGCGUUCAAAAAAUUUCGAGUUUGUUUAGGCUGUCGAAAUCUUGCAAAAUUAAUUUUUUACCGUGUUUUCAGAAAAAAUCUAAUCCAUUCCAUUUACUCCGGUGCAGAUAACGUGUCCGAAACUUUGUGUCCGUUUAUGUAGUUUUACUAUCGGUGUGACGACUGCCACAUAUUAUUUUUAACGGUGUUACACACGCCCGGUCGAUAUUUAAAUGUUAUGAUAAUAAUAUUAUGAAAUAUUCGCGCCCGAUCUGUUCAGUAGGGCACGAGAUAUUAUAAAUACACUAUCACGUAACACACGCGCGCACACACACACAAUUUUACAACAAUAUCUAUUGUAACAUAAUAAGACGUGCGAGUGUGUACGCGUGUUUUU